GUACAUCAUUGGGAAUGGAGGGAAAUAAAUGACUGGAUGGUCGCUGCUUUUUAAGUUUCAAAUUGACAUUCCAGACAAGCGGUGCCUGAGCCCGUGCCUGUCUUCAGAUCUUCACAGCACAGUUCCUGGGAAGGUGGAGCCACCAGCCUCUCCCUGACAAGCAAAGUGGAUCAGCAAAGGCUGCAGUCACCAGCAUCUUUUCCAACCUUAAUGAACUGUAUCCUCAAAAGAACACUAUCAGACUGGCUCUGCCGACUUCCAGUUCUGGAACAAGAUGGUUAAACUCAUUUUUCCCUGCUCUGCUCCUCUAAAUACAACUAAGUACCUUGGAAACUAUUCAGCAGACAAUGAUAAAGGGCUCUGAAAGCUAGAAGAAAAGGUGUACUUGCAAGAAACCUCAGGACUUGAGUAACAGCAACAUGGCAGGCCAGAAAGCAGACCCAGGGAGGAUAGCACAUGUCUUCGGCUACACUGGUGAAGGCAUCGUGCCUGCUCCACAGCACAUUUUUAUUCAAGUCUUGGACGAGCCUGAGGAUGUCUACAAGUGGAAGAAAAGAAGCCACUGGAGCAGAAGGUGGGGAGGAUAAAAUUUGGAGCAAGAUUCUCAAGGAAGCAACAAGAUCCUAAGCUCACCAAGCUCCUGUAUCUACUGGAAAAUGGAAGUCCAGCCUUACCAACUUGUGAACCUUGUCUGAAGGGAGCCAGGGCCUGCCAAUGGAACCACCUCCAGGAGCUGCAACUGCUGUUGUCAUUAAUACCAUUGUGUCUAUUUUUUGAGAGAGAUAAACUUUUCAUGGUGUUACAUUUUGGAAAAAAAAAAAAAAGACUAGGUGAACAGUCAGGUAGGAAAGCAGCAUAACAGUCCCUUAAAUUCUGAUCAUGUAGGACAUUCUUCUUUGCCCUGGGCCUGGGAAAAUGCAGCAUGUUCCAGAGCAAAAGUCCUAAUGAGGGGAACUAAACCAGUGGGACCCAAACCAAUGUCCUGGCUCACUGAGGACCCGUUAGAACCAAAUCUCUGGGUGUGGACAGGCUCCCAUACUUUUCAAAAAUUCCCCUGAUGACUAAUGAACAACCAGAGGUAAGAACCAGUGGCCCAGAGGAAUAACCAGCCCAGCUGUUGUACGAGCUCGCUAAGCUGGCUCAGGUCAAUGUUGAAUUCUCUGCUAGGCAGCUCCUCAUAAGAACUGGCAGAGAUGGUUCUUACACAACAACAGGUGACAACUCCAGACUCUGCCGGAAGUUCCAGGAUCUGGGUUCCCGGACAAUGCAUGACACUCAGUCCAGCAUUGCAGGUGGAAGAGCGACGGUGAAAAGACCAAAGUCAAUUAAAAUGUGUUAACCAAAACAGGAAACAUGAGUGAGGUGAUUGAGAGUGUGUUUAACUUAGAUGUGUGAUUUUAUCAAUACUUUCAUUGUUCAAAAACUCUUAUUUUUUAAAGAUAUUUUCAAAACAAAUCCAAACUUUACUUUUCAUUCCAAA
rnacentral:lncRNA from 1 species